CAAUAGCGUAUAUUAAAGUUGUUGCGGUUAAAAGCUCGUAGUUGGAUUUCUGUCUGAGGCGGCCGGUCCACUUUCUGAGUGAGCAUCUGGUCCGCUUUGGGCAUCCUCCUGGGGAACGUCUCCGCGCUUGAUUGUGUGGUACGGAAUCUGGGACUUUUACUUUGAGGAAAUUAGAGUGUUCACGGCAAGCAAUCGCUUUGAAUACAUUAGCAUGGAAUAAUAAUAUAGGGCGUAAGUUCUAUCUUGUUGGUUUCUUAGAACAUACGCAAUGAUUAAUAGGGACAAUUGGGGGCGAUUCGUAUUAACGCGUCAGAGGUGGAAUUCUUAGAUUGCGUUACGACGAACUACUGCGAAAGCAUUUGCCAAGGAUGUUUUCUAUUGAUCAAGAACGAAAGUAAUAGGGGAGUCGAAGAUGAUCAGAUACCGU
rnacentral:rRNA from 1 species